AAAAGUAAAUAAGGGCGAAUGGUGGAUGCCUAGGCUCCUAGAGGCGAAGAAGGACGUGACAAGCUGCGAAAAGCUACGGGGAAGUGCAAAUAACUAAUAAUCCGUAGAUAUCCGAAUGGGACAACCCAUCUUAUCAUUAGAUAAGAUAUCUGUUAUUUAUAUAACGGAGGCAAACCCGGCGAACUGAAACAUCUUAGUAGCCGGAGGAAAAUAAAACAAAAGUGAUUCCCAAAGUAGUGGCGAGCGAAAUGGGAUUAGCCCAAACCGUAAUUGUUUCGGCAAUUGCGGGGUAAUAGGACUACAAUAAUUAUUUAUAUAAAUUAAUUGGAAUACUUCUGGGAAGGGUAACCAAAGAUAGUGAAAGUCUAGUACAAGUAGUAUUUAUAUAAUUAAAGUAGUAUCCUGAGUAGCGCGGGACACGAGAAACCCUGUGUGAAUUUGCCAGGACCAUCUGGUAAGGCUAAAUACUCCUAGGAGACCGAUAGUGAACAAGUACCGUGAGGGAAAGGUGAAAAGUACCCCGAGCAGGGGAGUGAAAUAGAACCUGAAACCGUUCGCUUACAAGCGGUUGGAGCUAUUGAUUUAUUGAUAGUGACAGCGUGCCUUUUGCAUAAUGAGCCUACGAGUUAGUCGUCUCUAGCGAGGAUAAUGAUUUAAGAUCAGGAUUCGAAGCGAAAGCGAGUCUUAAUAGGGCUAUAUAGUUAGAGGCGCUAGACGCGAAACCUGCGUGAUCUACCCAUGGCCAGGGUGAAGUCUCGGUAACACGAGAUGGAGGCCCGAACCAGUUGACGUUGAAAAGUCUUUGGAUGAGCUGUGGGUAGGGGUGAAAGGCCAAUCAAACUGGGAAAUAGCUCGUACUCCCCGAAAUGCAUUUAGGUGCAGCCUUGAGAAUAAUUGUUACAGAGGUAGAGCUACUGAUAGGGCUAGGGGGCUUCACCGCCUACCACCCCCUGACAAACUCCGAAUGCUGUAACAUUUUACUCAGGAGUGAGGGCAUGGGUGCUAAGGUCCAUGUCCGAGAGGGAAAGAACCCGGACCAUCAGCUAAGGUCCCCAAAUAUACACUAAGUUGACCAAACGUUGUGCGACUGCAUAGACAGCUAGGAUGUUGGCUUGGAAGCAGCCAUUCAUUUAAAGAGUGCGUAACAGCUCACUAGUCGAGCGGUUGUGCGUGGAUGAUACUCGGGCAUAAGUGUAUUACCGAAGCUAUGGAAUUGAGGUAACUCAAUUGGUAGGGGAGCAUUCCAUUAGCGACGAAUCAAUAAUGUGAAUUAUUGUGGAGCGAAUGGAAAAGCAAAUGUAGGCAUAAGUAACGAUAAAGCGGGUGAGAAACCCGCUCACCGAUAGACUAAGGUUUCCGCGGCUAUGCUAAUCAGCCGUGGGUAAGUCGGGACCUAAGGCGAACCCAAAAGGGGUAGUCGAUGGCAAAUCGGUUAAUAUUCCGAUACCUAUUAUAACUGCGAUGGGGUGACGAAGUAGUGACAUGUUCGCGUACAGACGGAAUAGUACGUUAAAGGGUGUAGAUAAUGAGAUUGUUAAUAGCGAUUUUUUUCGAACCUGAAAGUACCAAGAUCCUUCGGGAGAUUGGAUAGUAACAGUAAUCAGACUUCCUAGAAAAACCUCUAAGCAUAGGUUAUAGUGGCCCGUACCACAAACCGACACAGGUAGUCAAGGAGAGAAUCCUGAGGUGCUCGAGUGAGUCGUGGCUAAGGAACUAGGCAAAAUUACCCCGUAACUUCGGGAUAAGGGGUCCCUAUUCAAUUAGGGCGCAGAGAAAUGGCCCAGGCGACUGUUUAUCAAAAACACAUGGCUUUGCUAAAUUGAAAGAUGAUGUAUAAGGCCUGACACCUGCCCGGUGCCGGAAGGUUAAGAGGGGGUGUUAUCUGUAAGGAGAAGCACUGAAUUGAAGCCCCGGUAAACGGCGGCCGUAACUAUAACGGUCCUAAGGUAGCGAAAUUCCUUGUCGGGUAAGUUCCGACCUGCACGAAUGGUGUAAC
rnacentral:rRNA from 1 species